rnacentral:rRNA from 1 species
UACGUAGGGAGCAAGCGUUGUCCGGAAUCAUUGGGCGUAAAGCGCGCGUAGGCGGCCUCAUAAGUCCGUUGUGAAAGUCAAAGGCUCAACCUUUGAAAGCCGAUGGAUACUGUGAGGCUAGAGUUCGGAAGAGGCGAGUGGAAUUCCUGGUGUAGCGGUGGAAUGCGCAGAUAUCAGGAGGAACACCAAUAGCGAAGGCAGCUCGCUGGGACGAUACUGACGCUAAGGCACGAAAGCGUGGGGAGCGAACAGG